rnacentral:lncRNA from 1 species
GGGCGAGUAACGUCUAGGAAAGCAGUAAACCAUAGAGCAGGAACUGGCACCGAGUAAACCCUCUUCUUAGUUGCUAUCCUCUUAUCUAUCCCUAUUCAUUGAGUGUGCUAGCAACCAACAUAGGGAAUUUGCCUAAUAGAGCAACGAAUGCAUUAGUAAGCGCAUUGGUGAACUUGAACAGCCGGGUUUUGGUGAACUUGAAUAGCGGGCAUUGACUUAUCACUUGUGCUUUUCUCUUUGGGACAGUAAACCCGGACUACUCUACUGGUUGGGCAAGGGGGAAGGAACCUAAAAUGGAGUUAUUGCAACAUAGCUCGGUGAUUCUGCUUCCACUAAUUGAUUUCCUCGGAUUGGAAGACAUAGGCGAUGAUCCUUAUUGCGUUUUCUCGUGCAAGAGAAGGAACCGCUCAUAGGCUUGACUCGCCCUUAACGGUACGAGCUAUAGUCCACUUUACUCGCACUGAUCCUUAACUUAAUCCAAUUCAACGAGUAGCGGUUACUUAACUAAUUACUCUUGUCUGAUUCUUUUCUCUUUCAACUAUCGAUUAAGUUAGUCGAGCAGGAGCAAAAAUGCAGGAUAGUUCUCUAGCUAAGCAAGAAGGAGUGUUUUCCGUGUAGUUACUAAGGUAUGCUUGCCUGAUAGCAUUGGUUAAUGGGUCAACUCUUAUUAGAAGAUUCAAUUGGAAUAAUGGAAUGGAAUUGAAACUAAUUCAACAGCCCCUCUGUAAACUAUACUAUACCCGAAGCCUCGCCUGUAUACGUUGCUUGCCUCUUAGACCGUCAAUACUGAGUGCAAUUCUUUAAUGAAAUACCAGAUGUGGCAGAUUGGUCAUAUAACUACUGAGUGCAAUUCUUUGACUUUACUACUUUAGAGAACCGGUAGUUUCUUUCCUCUUUACUUAAACCAACCCUUGUUUCUGAUUUCCUCUUUACUAUACUAGUAAUUCAUUCUUUUCCAGGAAUUGACACUCCUGACGCGCAACUACUAGCUAAUGUCGCAGGUCACUUUCAUUUCUCGCCUAUUGCUCCCGUUAGUGCUUACUUGCCAUCUGACCCGACCUCUCUACUUCUACUAAUAAGAAUAAGAGAUCUGCUAAAAAGAUAUGAAACUAAGAAUAAGGGACUGGUCUUCCAUUCUGCAUUUAUUAUGUCUUAUACAACUACAACUACAGAAGCGGUCCUACUACUCAACUUAGAAGUGGUCUUCUACCCUAAGUUCAUCACUUGGCGACUCGGAACCAUCAAGAUGUUAGGCUUGAGACGGCGCUAAUGGAGUGGAAUGGAAGACCGCUUCUAAUUCUAAGUAGAUAUACCUGAUAAGUAGGAAUACCAGAGUUAGGAGUUCCACUUGUCUAGUAGUAGCUAGCCGGGGCUAAAGUUGCAUUCCAUUGAAACAAAGAAUUGAUACUAAGAAGGUAAAGAAGAAGCAUCAUACGGAGGAGAAGGAAAGGCGGAAGGGAAAGAUACGGGGUCGCUGCUUUAGUAGUGAAGUGACUUAUUAAAAGGAAGAAAGGACGAGAAAAGAAACUACUAGCUAUGUAUAGGUGUCUAGACAGGAGUGGAAACACUAAGAAUUGAGGUAAGUGGAAACUCCUAAUAAUAAGAGUAAGAAAUAAACAAAUAACAUUGAUGUAACAAACAGGCGAGCAGAGGGGGCAAAGGGGUCUUGAUAACUAGUGAAAAGUAACAGUGAAGAAAGUCAGGUUGGGAGAAAGCGAAGCCACAUACUCACAAGAUUCCAGACUUGAUGAUAGAAAGGAGGUAGAGGGAAGCUAACAAGCUGUGUAGAAGAAAACGAAGAUAGAGCGAGAGAAGCUACGAGCGCGAAGGCGAGUGAGAGUGCUAGAGUUCCAGUGAGCAACUGGAGGAGUGAGGGAAAAAUGAGUAUGCAUUAGUGUAGAGUUGCCUCCAGAGGAGUGAAAGAGAAGAGGGAAGAGAAAGAGGUAUGUAGUUGUAAUAGUAGAUGUAUCGGAGUUCAAGAGGCAAGUUAGGAUCUUUUGAAAGGAGGGAAAGAGUUGGGAAGCGAGUGAAUUAUAGGAGGGAAAUACAAAAGAGUAGCGGGAAAGAGGAGGAAAAGGCAAUACUCAACUCAGAGGUUAAGGGUAGGCAUAAAAGAAAGGGUUAUAGCAGUAUCAAAGAGCGAAAGAGCAUAGCCGAGGCUUGACUUGCUCAUAACUUGCUAGGAAUUCGCUGAAAAUAGUCAUUAUUUUAGGCUUAUGGUAUCCGUGAAAACCCCUGUUUAUGGUUGUUUAGGGUAUAACUCAUCAGUAGUGGCUUGGCGUUUCAUCUUAUAAAGAAGCAAAGCAGGGUUAGUUAGGGCGUAGAGAGAAUCACAAGUUCUUUCUUCGGGAGUCCUGUAUUAAGGGUGGCAGGGCCGCUAGUCAAUUGAAUUCCACUCCUUACCCUCCCUAAACUACUCCUCUCCUGUGAGCGCAGAACUUCUCCUUAAAGAAUUGGAGUGCACCGUACUACUUAUAGGAGUUGUGUUAAGACUUCAGAGCUCAAUCCUCUUCUUACGUUUGAUACCUGAAUUCGGCAACUAUACCUUAGGCUCAUAUACCGAUGUGUUUGUUGGCUUGACUUAGUUUGUGUCUUACUUAGUUGCUUGGUGGCUUCAACUCCAAAUAUAGGCUUUCUCACUUAGUUGCACAGGAAUAGAACUCAGGAAUCAACCUACUACUAUUAGAUAGAGCUCAACCAACAAAAGAGAGACUGAAAGAACUCCCCCAAUACUGUAACUCCGGGGGAAAGAGCGGAGACUUUCAAUAAUGAGUAUCGGGCUUUAUCCACUAACUCAGAGUAUAUCACUAUCCAUAAUAAUCAAACAAAUAACUAAUACUUGAACUCCCAAGCAACUACCCCUGUAUCUAAGCCCACCUUUCCUUAACUCAAAUCUGUAUUAUCAUCUAUCGACUUAGACCAACAAGUGCAGUUUUCCCUUAUACUCUUGCAAACCGACACCACUGUCUCUUGUCCUCUGACUACCAGCCUGUGACUCAUAGCUUUCACUCUGCUAUUCCUCGAUUAGAGCCUUGCUUCCUGGGGGGUCUAUUCUUAUUGUGAUAUUCUAUUUGAAUAAAGAGUUGAACUGGAGACACCGGAAUAGAACCACGGCAAACUACUUACAAGGCCCGAUGCACUAAGCAUAUGGCUAAAAACAAGGAAUGCGACGCGACGACGGCUUAUCAUAUCGAUACAAGAGAAAGGGAAUGCCAGGCCCAACUAUAAGAAUCGAAAGUGAAGAGUUAAGACCCGGAAGCAGAGGAAUCAUAAUCGCGGUUAGUGCUCUCCAGCUCAAGUCUAGGUUUGGAUACUUAUAAUGCUAGGUAUAGUUCGGGAAGGGAAGUUGGUAGAGCGGAGACAUUGCUCUAGUUUGAAGCAAGUAAUGGGCAGAUUUACAUCAAGGAGUAAAGGAGUGGGUUCAGCUCACGGGGGUAGUGUUUAGUUCCUGUUAGCGCGAGUUUCCAUUGUUCAUCGACCUAGGACAAAGGCACGGGCAAGAUAGGGCGUGGAGGCACCGGGUGUUUGACUUUCAGAAGAAUGCAGUUUAUUAGUUUACAUAGGAGUGAAAGGCUUAUUAGUUUGUUUACAGAGGAGUGAAAGGCUCUCCCGAGUGUCCUCAUAAAUUGAUUCCUACCGACCCUGUAGGGAGAUACUUUAUGGCGCGUAAUUAACAGAGUGGCGCGUAGUAUAAUGAAUUCCCUAGCUUCCCUGUCUUUGGAAUCUGAUCAGUAGCAAGCAGUUCUGAAAGUAUUGUUUCGGGUGUUGGUCAGGUGUUCCAGCUACUAGAUAGUAAGGUUAAGGCAUGUUUUAUUCGAGUGUCAAUUCCUAUAAUUCAUAUAUAAUAAUCAAAGUGAUCUCGAACACUUUCCUCGCACUGCUAAUUAUUUACUGUCUUUUUGACCCCGCUGGUAGGUAAAACAGGGUUGCUGCCUUUUUGACCGGGUUUCAUAAAAUCAGAUCGUCUCUUGCUCCCUUACGUGCUUCAACGACUCGGGCUCAGCUCCUGCCGCUACACUUACUACGUUCCUUGGCCCUGAACUUGGCGCCUCUUUUCUUCUAUUCCGUUUAUGUAGUUGACUUUUCCUCUGACUUGCAUUCUUAGUUGACUUUUCCUCUGACUUGCAUUCUAUAUAAGGAGAAAGCUCUUUCUUACUCAGAAGGAUAAAGCUCCUUCUUACUCAGGUAGAAUAUUGUAUUGUUACUUGAAUGAAAGGAGGGAUCCGGUAUAAUAGAGUGCGGGUAGCACACGAGGAUGUGCAGUGAAUACACUUAGGGUACACCUCGGAAAGAAAAGAAAUGGCAUUCAUUCGAAACGCACCCUGCAGAGAAAAACUGUAUCAGGGGGAAGGUUGUCUAACGGAAAAAAUCUUAUAGGUAAGUUAUAAGGUAUGAGUUAGAAGGUAUUCUUUUAUAGGGGCGAACAGUGCCCAAGUAAUCCUGCGGGUCUAAAUUCCUGUAAUUAGAAUAUCAUAUGGAAGAGCAUCCGGUAAAAAUGACUUCUUGAGUCCUGUUUCAACAGUGUUUGUAGCCCUGGAAUCUUUGUUUGUAGCCCGAGUUAGAUUAGAGUCCUGCUCCAGCUAUUUCGUACAAUACAUUUGGAAAAAACUAUAGUAAGUGAAGCACGGUGGGUUGCUCCCGAGCGUGUAGUCCUGUUAGCCUAGUUGGAGUUUUCUCAUAUAAAGAAGAAGAUCUCGGAUCAACACUAAAGUAAGCUCCGCUCCACAGUAUAAAAGAAAGGUGAAGUGCACUUGUAAGGAAAUAUUAGAUGUUGAAGAGGUAAGCUGUAAAUACAGUUUAGGUAGCAGCGGUACCGGUACAAAGAGCAGGUGUUGUGGUAAGAGAAUAUGAUCUCGGCACACUUCCACCGAGUUUGAAUCUAGAGAGCAUCCGGAUGAUGAAUACUUGGAGAUCAUGGAGUCUGCAACAGAGUAUCUUUCUCUUCUUUGAUUUCUUCUCAAAUCUCUAGCCUCGUUCACAUUCAUUGUGUGAAUCAGAUCUGGACACUACUUGGUUGUUCUUUAGUACGUUGGGACAUCAAUCCGCUGCUUUCAUUGCUCCUGUCCAUUCUUGUGCUUUUUUGUGGAUUUCUUCACUACUGAAUUCCGUAGGUAUACCUAUAAGUAUAGCUAGUACAAGGCUUGACUCUGGUUCCAUUUUGUAGCUUCACCUGACUUUAAAGAAAGCUGGAAUUGGAACUCCCUCUUUCCUGAGCAAGCCCAUAAAAGUAGUACGUACUCGGGUGUCUGCUCGUGGAAUAGAAAUAGUUGGGUAGUAUAGAUAUGCUUGAGAUCAGAGAAUAGCUCCAUAAUCAAUAGAAAACUGCAAUGAAUUACACACACGCAAGUGGUGGCUCGGUUAGAGGAAGAAGCUUGAGCCUCUGCACUACCGAGGACCUGCUAAAAUCAAUCGAUUGCAUCAGAUAUGCCAAAACCACUUACAGGUCUUUCCAAAGAGCAUAAAGAACAAAAGAAAUAGAAGUAAAGUGGACUCGGAAAGAAAAGAGAUAGUGAAACCCUCUCCAAUUUGAGAUCUAUCUAUCCUUAUAAGUAGGAAUCAAAACCUACUAAAUUCCCCCACAUGAUUAGACUAAUGGAGAAAGUAGAGGUAUUAAAAAAACCCUAUACUCCUACUUCCCUUUAUUUGAUAUUUCCUAAAGGUUAGAUUCCCAAACUUGGCUCUAUAAUAAGAGUGAGCGCUCACACUUUCUUUAUGGGGAGCAUCUAUUCAAAGGAAAUGUUUCGGCCUGCAGGAGAGGCAUCUUACUUUCCUACUGACUGAAUCACUGAAAUCUGUUUAAGGAGGUUUCUACUGGAAGAGACUCCGCGUCGGGGCGGUCGGGGGUUCAUUACGAGUGGGCAUGAACUGUAACAAAACUCAAGUAAGCCCUAAUUCCGGAACCGUAACGGGAACCACCCUGUAAAGUAAAGAGCCUCGCCUAAAGGACCAGACCCGGAGCUGAGAACAAGAUCGCAAGCGCAACUUCUCAUUCGAAGCAUGAAAGUGGUCAGGUCACUUAGAGCCGGAAGAGAUAAUAGUUGCCUUAUUAAAGGUUGGGGCGAAAUCUGUCAAAUACAAGCAAGCAAGCCCUUCUAUUUCUCUAUUCAAUCCAAGGCCUACCUCGAUACACCUGUGUCACAACGGCGGAUCUUUUGAGUGAGGGAAGCCGGAGCAUUGGUCAAGAGAUAGAAAUCAGAGGCACUAUAGAUCGAGAAAAACACAUUAGCUACACCAGCGUGUAUUAAGAAGUUUCUUUUUGAUCCUAUUUGGAGACUUUCCGGUUACUACUUAGCUAAAGCACUCCUCAACCAACUAAGAAAUGGAUUAGCAGUUACCCGAACCCUCCUAUCACAACAAGGCAGAGCUAACCCUGAAUUCGACUGCUCUCUAAAAGGCCUGCCUAUGAAAUUAGUAAAGCUUGGAUAACAUAGUACUAGGACUUACUAGAUGAAAGACCGUGAUUGGUUAAGGUACCCAAUAUUAGGUAGCUGCUCCAUCUAUCGGAUCUUUUCUAAGAGGGUUAGGUGGUUGAGUCGAAGCGUAGAAGGAGACAAAAUCAUCGGUCGUGCCCGGGGUUGAUUUCCUACUUACAGCUAAAUGAGGGUUUUUGACGUCAACUCUGCUGGAAGCUAGAUCCAAUCUACUGGUCUUUCGUUCGCUAUUCGAAUGUCUUGGACCAGUAUAAAUGUCAGAAAGGUGGUCUUGUCCUUUCCUACUAGUACGUCGCUAGUAGCUCCUUAGUUGAUCUCUCCUCUUCCCGGCCGGCUGUUACUCGUAUGUCCAGACAACGCAACGACUAUCGAUUCAACGAACCCAUAGAUUCUUCUAUCAUUCGACCAGAUCUUCUAGAUGUAUUCUAAUUCUCCGGCCUCGAGCAACUUUACUCAAAAGGGAAAUGCCCUUAAUUCAUUUUGGAUUAGUUUACAGCUUUUUCACCGAGCGGUUCUUCAAGUAGAGUUCCAGAAGCCGAAUGCUAAUCGAAUGCUGAGGUUGAGUCUCAAGGAGAAGCGGAAUAAAGAGCAGAAGAAUAAGCUUGAGCAGAAUAAUAAGCUUGAGCAGAACAGAAGCAGUAGGCACAGGAGUAGUUUCAAUUGAAGUUGUGGAAUUCUUUGUCGCCAGCCAGCACGCAUAGAAUCUCCGUAAUCAACUGUAGCGCUCUCAAUUCGAAGUUUCAAAAUGCAAUACUAAGUCUUCCAUUCCAUUCUGUAUUUUCCAUUCCGUUUUUCAAUUAUGAAAUGAGGUUUUCCAUUCUUUAUCUGUCAUAUUACUUUUGUUCUAUAUAAGACAUCCCCUUGAAACAAAUCAUUCUGAAACUUCACCUCAUAUAAGGAAGUAAGUCAUAUUACAAACCAAUAUAUCCAUACCAUCUUUGAAACAAAUCAUUCUUAAACGGAAACAAGAAAGUUCCAUUCUCACUUUGGAGUCUAAUGCACUAGAGACCCUAUUCCUUGAGUCUAAUGCACUAGAUCUAACCCUAUUCCUAGUCAGAUUUGUAGAAUAGAAGACCCUAUUCCUAGUCAGAUUUGUAGAAUUAUUAGACGCAGAGCAGGAGUACAUCCCUAUUGAAUAUAAUGGAAGUACGACAUAGAAGAAUAGGCUUGAAGAGCACUAGACUAGGGGGGCGAUGCGAGAAGAGAGGGCCGAAAACAGGAGUGGAUUUCUGACUUGGAAACACUGAUACUAUAUUCUUUAAGUAAGGAGCAAACAAGCAGACAGCUUUCAUAUAAGGGAAAGAACAAGUAGUGGCCCAGCCCAGUGGAAUCCGUAUGAGUUUACAGACUUACCGCAAUUAGUACAUCUGAGACUAACGAGUGGAAUUCUGACCUUUCUGCACUUUGAGUGGAAUUCUUUGUUUCAUCUGUCUUAGUUGACAUAGGUAUCGGAGCCAUAGGUAUAGAAUCACUUGUGACCUAAUUUACUGAUUUCUUUGACGGAUAUCGGUCAUAUCUAUCGGUCAUAACCAUACUUGAGAACUUGAAUUAGAGAUGAAACUAGUCAGAAUGAAGCCAGAGAAGGUAUCGAAUAGAGUUUACGAUUUCUUCUGUUAGGCCUGUACCUGCGCCUUAACCCUACUUUAGAGCAGAGAGAUUCGCUGUUUUGAAUCCAUUCUCUUUCUCAUAUAAGAUAGAAUGAAAGACCUUAGAGCGAGGUAUCUUCACCAGGCAAACAACUCCUCAACAAGCAACUCAGGGCAUUUCGUAUAUCGAGAAAACGCAUCUUUGCAUUCAACUACGAGGGGAAUGUUUUCAACUGACAAAGCUACUACUCGGGGCUUUGAGGCUUCCACUCACUAUAGGUAGGCUGACUCGCUGGCUUAAGGCUUCUACCCACUAGCUCCCGAAAACAGUUAGUCUUAAGUUGACAAGCAGUAGUCCAGUGGAAUAAGAGGUUUAGUGUAGAAUCAAACCGGCUCUCCAGUAUCUCGAGUUUAUUAUUUCCUAUUUCACUCCUGUACUCCCUUUCCUCUUUCACUCCUGUAAUUGAGAACUCUAAGAAUUAAUACAUCUGUACUGGGUUGGUUCAGAGCACUUAGAGUUGAGUUGACUUUCCUCGCACCAAUUCACUUAAGGGCUGAAACACCUGAGUUAGAAUGAAACGUCGUAGUCAAAGAAUACAAUUACGAGCUAAGGCUAAGUCAGAGGCAUAGGUACCUGUUUUUGCUGUUCUAGUUCCUGAGUUUAUAACUUCUUAUUUAGGGGUUUGUUGCGCAAGAGGUGAGAAAGGCACUAAGCCUACUUAAGGCCUUGAAACCAACCCGUAGUACUGCUAUGGUUCUUGUUUAAUACCGAAUAGCUUCCUCGCCCGCCUGUCGAACAUGAGUCCGAUUGUGUGUCUCAGAUGGAUAAGGUAAGUCCGCAAGUUCGGGAGCAGAUUCCUUAGGAGCAGGAAACUCCAUUCUUAUAGAUUCCGGAGGAGGAGUUACAGAGUUACCGACAAAAGUGAAGUUAAAGAAACCCAUAUCACUGAAUUCUAUCUUUCUAAAGGAGAACUUUCUAUAAAGGAUAACUGAUGAUCCAGCUUUCAUAACUGCUGCAUCUCGGCACCCUCUGCCCUUAACCCAGCUUCCGAACAAGUAAUUGAAUUGGAAGACCUAGCUCCUAGGCUCAACUCUAACAACAUCUUUUCUUAGACCACAUAAGACCAGUAGAAGACCGUGUACAGGAGCUCAAUCAAUAUAAGUUAGUAUGGGUUAUAAACGAGUCCUUAUUGUCUACUCCGACAACAAAUCAUUGAACCCUGCCCAAGCUGCUGGCAACAAUUCUCUACUUCCCGCUUCAAAGCAAGUACUUUACCUCGUAUCAAACCUCGUAUCAAAGCAGGAGUCCUCUUCAACACCCGAACCGAACUCACUCUAUUCUCUAAUCUCUAACUAAUGAUCCCAAGGCUUACUCCCUUUUUGACAGCCUCAGGCGUAUACUACAGUACUUCCCCCUAACAAGCAAGUCAACUACCCGAGCCUAGGUAAACUACCCGACCCUCAAAAGUCAGUGCACUACCCUUACUUCUAUUCUCAAACUACUUACCUCGGAUCUUACAGUUGCGGGACUAACUGAAACAGCUUCUUUGCCUUCUUCCUUUCGAUUGUUAGUCUCAUUAGUCAGCUUCAUCUUUCUACUCCUUAGUUUAGCUCUUGCUUGUUAGCUUCAGAGCCCUUAUCUCCCUUAUCUAAUUAUCCCCUUCCCCGCUUUUCGCCUAUCUUUUAUUGGUAUUCUUUUCACUUAUAUAUUAGCAUGUGUGUUUUAAUAUGAUUAUUGAUUAGUAUUUUCUUCUAUUUGAUUAGGGAAAUUAGACUCAAAACCACAAGUUCUAUUUCUGUUCCCUUUAUCGCAGUUGGUGCCGGUGUCAAGUAAACAUCAUUCUUAUGAGGUCUCAGUUCAAACUUUCACUCUGCUCUCCCUUUCUUGCCUUUAAGUUGGAAGCUCCUUUACUGGAUGCACUGGAUCAUACCAUACCCGUUCGGAUAUUAACUCUACCCUUUUUCUUAUUUGUAAUAUCCGCCUUAAAAGCAGUUGUUUGGUGGUUCGAAGUAAACAGUAUAAGAGGGGUACAGAACUCGACUAAGCUAUUUCAGAAUUUAUAUACUACAAAAUAAAUUGAGUAAGCACUAAGCAAUUGAAGCACGAGAGACAGUAAAGCAAGCGCAAACCAACUCCUAUCUAAUCGUCUUAACCUGACUUUCUAACAGGAACAGGACAUUCUCCACUGUAAACUAGAACAGUCCAUUCUGCUGCUGGCAAGUGCUACUUAUAGGAUGGAAGGCACCUAGACUUCACUCCCACUCAAAGAUAUUCUCUAAGACACCUUGGGCUAAGAUGGGAGGCCUAAUGGUUGAACUUCUCUUACUUACUAACUCUAUACUGCGGAUUCUAUUACAGCCGAUGAGGAUCUUUCUUCUGCUUCAAAGCCGAUACUUUCUUUUUAUUCUUCCUCGACAAGAAACACCACUUUAUGACCGCCGCAACUGAUCUUGUUCCCGCUUCGGUUUAUUCUCCCGCUUCUGGUCUCUAUUACUUUCCGGAUCCCGUUUCUGAUCUCGUAGACUUUCCAGAUCCAGCUUAUGGUCUUACUGCAAAAGAAUUACCUCCUUCGGCAUUAAACUAGGGCCCGAACAACACUUUCCCUGUUUCCGAUGCUUCCUCUUUAGUGACCAACAUCUAUUAGACCCCUAUUAGAACUUGAACUCUGACUUCGAUGUUAAUACCCAGCUCUUUUGUCAUUACAAUUCCGACAAGCAACUAAGCGCCAAGCCUUCAACAAGGGAGUUACAGAACGAAACAAAGAAGUGCAAGGCUGAAACACUACCUAGCAAGACCUGAACCAAGGGAGUUACGGGCUAUCCGACACCUGAGGCACAGACUGCUACUGGUGCUUAAGAAUCCAACUCACUCGUCACAGAACCAAGCCAGAGGGAGUCCAAGCCUGGCCAAGCAACUACUAAUGACCAAGUCCUGUGUGAAACUGGAAAGGAAGCACUAACGGGAGCAAGAUCGGUCUACUUUGAAAUGCAUUAUUUAUCAUCGCCAAGAUGUUUUUCGAAGGAUUUCCUAUCAAACUAGGAAACUGUCCUUAUAAUGCAUUGACGCCUAUAAUCUUGACCCUAUUAACAUCUGUACCCUACUGCUCUGCUCUGCUCUGUCAACAAUACCUGAAUUCUGAUCCUAUCACUCUGGCUUGGCUCUUAUAUUAGACUUCUCCCCGGGGCUCCUGCCGCUCUGUGUUCGGUGUUUUGAAUUGGAUUUCCCAUCAAACUCAAUAAGUGACCAAGCAACCUCGGAAAGCACUCUCCAUCUAGUUCAGGCUACAAAGACAGUUAUUUCUCCAAAACACAUAGCAUAAGUAUUUACCUCCUUCUCCCCUUUAUUUACUUCCCUCAACAAGCUUAGGCGCAAGAGAGAGAAGGAUCAGUGCCAACUCGCUAACGCUAUAAGCUUGCACCGGCAAACUCCAAAAUACUAUAUAUAGGUCGUAACGGAACCAGCAACUGAAUCAGCUGGGCUAAAUAAGCAAGUAUACAGGGGUGCCGAGUACAUAAUAUUGUAAUAACCAGAGAUUCAAUGAUUUGUUGCUUCAGCAAAAGAAAAAGUAGAAUCAUCGGUUGAGUCUCAAUCUCAAGGAACAAUAGAAUCAUCAUCAUCAGCAAGUGGUUCUUUCACUUCCAGGAGGGGCCCUUAUAGUAAGUUGCAGAAUCUAUUCGAAUUAAGCGCUCAUCCUUCUCCGGGACAAGAAGUCCGUACUGUACUUGAAGUCUAGGCCUGUCCUACUGGUACAACUUAAGCGAAGGAAAAGUCAGGGUUCAGGGCGGAUCCCGCAAUAUCAAGGUGUUCUGUUCGAAAUCAUUGAAUUGAGUGCUCUGCUCCCUUAUGAUAGAAAGAAGUAACCAUCUCUAUAUGCUCUUUAUCGCUAACCCUACCUAGUGCUCUGCCCUCUUCACAUUCCAUUCUGAUAUUAGAUGUGGGGGCCAAGCCAAUUCACCUAUAUAAAGAUAUUAUCUCAUUUAGUAGGGGCCAAGCCUACAAAGGUUCUAUAUUGACUACUUGCUUAACAAAAGCACUUAAUCCCAUUCCUCGUUCCAUUCUUCCUUUCGUUCUGUGUUUAAGGAAAAAAAGCGAUAGGUUCUCCAGCAAGUUCUUUUUGGCAAACGGAUUCUAGGGCUAACGAUAAGUAACACUUUUCCUCCUUUCUUUGGAGGGAUAUUGCUUUGAUUCCCAUUGUAGGAAGGAGAAGUUGAUUAAUGGGUUUUUUAUUCUAUUCCCAUUGAAGCGGCAGUAGUAGCAUUCCUAAGAAAAUCAAGGGUAUAAUCCAAAUAGCCAUUGCUAAGUACGCAAGUUAUCAGCUCUUCCUGAACCGGUUCAUUGGUACCAUCAACUCGGUCUCGAUAUGCUGCUUUGACCGCAUCGGCCGCUGGUUAAGAUAAUACCUGCGAAGGAAGUAAGUGCUCACUUCUUUCUCUUCGGGCAUUGGAAGACGAAUCUACCCCAUAUACGCUGGGUUACCCGGGCCAUACUUGUUACUUGGUGUUAACUGUAGCACUAUAUGACCUUUCCGGUGAAGAACGUGUUCCAUGAACUCAAUCCCCAAUAAAUGCUGUGGCAUAAGUAAUCUAGCUACAUUCUAUUACCGGCCCCUUUGACACUUGAAUAAGUAUUAUGGGAUAACAUAAACAAGUAUGCCUCUACAAAUUGGAUGUUUGAAAGGUCACUCGAAAUAUCAUAAGAGAAGAAAAAGAAUCUUAUGCCCCAAAACACACUCCUAUUCUUUUCUUGGUUGGCCUAACCCAACCGGUCAUUUCCAACAAGUCUUUCUGCAUUUGCUUUUGGGGGGGGAGCAGAGUAGUUAUUUCAUUUUGUGAAAAUGUCGGAUCAAGCCUAGCUUAUCUAUUGAACCUGUCUACUACUAUUGUUCUUCCUGCAUCUCUUUUUAUCCUAGCUGCCUGGCGGAGUCGAGUCGCACGUCCUGUGUUGCUUUUCAGAAUGACCUGUAAUUACCCUCGUUAGGGAUUGAUAUAGAUAUACCUUCGGGUAUUUCCAUCUCCAUCAUGCUUUCACGGGGUUGGAACCAGUUAAUAUAACAAGUCAAGUAAGUGAACAAGAGCGAGUACCCCUUCCAAAUUAGGCUUUUCUCUCACAAGUUAUGGCGAAGUAUACGUAGCUUUGUAACCCUGUUAUUCUUUUCUUUUGAUACGUAUAGCCAGCCGUAGCUCACUCCAAGGGAAUAAGGCUUCUUCAUGCGCUGCCCUCGUCCGGGAGUAUGCUAAAUCCAAGUAUGAGAUAUCCAGGGAAUACUUAUAUCCUCUUUAUUCUUAUAUAUUGGGUUCACGCCCAAGCGAGUAAAAGACUCAAACUCUGUCCCGAGUAGAUCAAUUUCAAAGGAAAUUCAGUUAGCGCUCAAAACAAACCUAGAGCGUUAAACUUAAUCAAGAAAGGUGUUUCUCUAUCUAAUUCGCUAAUGAGAGUUGGGAGUCAAAGAAAAAGAGUACGAGGAUAAUUUCAGAAAGAUUCUUUGGCCUUGGAAGUGACACAGCAAAUACAGUAUUUAGGGUUUUCUAUUCAUUCUGUUUUCGUCGUCCAGCAAGUUCCAAGUUCAGUGAAUGAGUUUCCUCUGUGCAAGUUCCAUUCUGUCUUCUUUUCUAAUUGAAGUGAAGAUGACGUAAGCAUGGCUUUGUUUGCUUGUUUCUGGAACUAUGAAAUCCUCUUCUGGGCAUGUCCCAGAGACUAGUGAAAGAAGUUAUUUGCCUUUACUGAAAUCAAGGUGCUAAGAGCCCGUUAGUUGUAGUGUAUGUGGUAAUCAUAAAGUGGGGCAGUUUCCAGUCAGUCUCCGUUCGCCUAAAAGUGCAAGUGGAAAAGGGCCAGCAGUUAGACCCGAAGCGAAGGAAGGGCAUAAGCGUUUCAUUUAGGUUCAUUAAAGUACGGGAAUCCAAGGUAUUUAGCAAGAUCAGGGAAAUUCUAUCUUACAGGCAAGGUGCUAAGAGCCCAUUAGAACAAGUGGUUCAGGUUCUGUUGAGUUCGGGCGCUAAGCAAGAUAAGAUGGAUAUUCCAUUAAUACUUUCUUUCGAGUUUCAAGAUUAAUAAGUCGAACAAUAAUCAGCUGUGAAAGGAACAAUACUUCCCUUAUCGAUUGAAACUGACUUUCACCUGUUCGUUCCGAGAUACAACACUGCCUCUGUAUGACUCUGAUCCUUAUCUUGAAACAGCUUAUGCUGCUGACCUCUUCUCUGACUUUACUUGAGACAACACCACCUCUUCUUACUUACGCUUACGCGGAAAACAGGACUCAUUGUCCCGCUCUAGUUCCUUAUUAAACCAUCCAACUAGAUUCUUCAUAUUAGUAUGCAGAGUUGCGGCGGUAAGUAGACUCAAUUCUGAAAGGAAGUCGCAACCAAAGUCGCUGGUCUGGUAAAAACUCUUUAUCUGAGGCUUGUGACUUGUGCCAUGUAAUCUUUGCCCUCUAGCUCUCUAUGCUCUUUAUUUCCCCGAACCGAACCCCUUUCCUUUUGAAUUAAUCACUUUUGAGUUUAGUUAAGUUCCAGAGGUGUUACCGAUCACUACUCUACUCGCUCCGUGUUGGCUGAAGAAGACGGAUUUCUCGCCCUACCCUGCGUUAUAAACUCAGAAGUAAGCUUGAAACUCCCUCUCGCCAACUAAAGGCUCCGCUCUAACUGCUUCCCUUAUAGGCAUGUAACUAAAAUAGGCAUAUAUCACUUUUUGGAAUUUAUGGGAUUUGAUUCCACCACCCCACCAAGUAAGUAAACACCCAGUAAGUAAACCAGCCGACCCGACCUCUUAACUGGAACUGCGACUACUGAUAUUGAUACUGAUCCUUAAGAUUCUUCUCUAUCUUGGAGACUUUCCUUGAACUGUUGUAUCACCCAUGUGUUAAGCAAUGAAGGUGUAGAUGGAAGUUAUUACUUAAACUCAAAGGUAUACGAUCUAGUGAUUAGGUAAGUCAAUUAGAAUUCUAUAGUUGUAAACUCCAUUCUUCAAGGAAGGAGAACUAGGGGCGGAAAGAGAACUCGGGUGAAGCUAACACUCAACAAAGGAUUGAAUCUAUCCAGUACUUUCUCUGGCUAUACCCCUUUUUUCCUGGCUAAUUAUUAUGUUUCCGGACUUGGAGUUUAGGAAGUACAUUAGAAAUCCGACUGUUAACGGCAAGGAAACCAGUAUUCUGUCUUUUAAGGUAUUCUGACUUAAGAGCAGAGCACAGAGCACCUGGCGCUAGGUACCCUAUUCUGACUUACCUAUUUCAACUAUACUUCUCCUCUUGCUACAGCAUCAAUUCCACUAUAGGUCUCAAAAAGAGAUGCAGUGUCUUAUAUUGUCUUAUAUAUAAUAUCUCUAAAGUCAUUAUUGAAUCAGCAGUUCUUGUGGAGUCGACGAAAGAAUCAACAAUAUCAAGUCAAUCAGCAGCAAGCGCGGGAAGUAAAGGAAAAGAAAGGUUCGGAAAGGAAAGCAGUUGGUAGAAAGGCUAAAGAAAGAAGUAAUAUAGGCAAAAGUGCUAAGAAGAAUAAAUGAUGUAUACCUGGCUUUUUUGAUGCCCUAGCCCUAAGUCAAUCCGUAGUGAGAGGUUAUCCCGAGUGAAGUCUGCUUGGCCCCGAACCCACCUCUACUCUUGCUACUAAUCCAGUUAUGGCUCUUGACUACUAUACUACCCGCUAGUGCCACUUAUAUAUCUGCGAAUCUUUCAACAAGCCCUGCUGCUGUCAACUAGACCUAGACCUUAAUGAUUCUCUGUCAACUAAGUAAGUCAACCUACCCGAGCCUAGGUAAACUACCCGAUCCUCAAAGAUGGUACUUUCUUUUGACUACCCGACCCCUAGUAUAGUCAGUAAGUCUUCCCCGACUAGACCUAUAAUAAGUGCCCGAACCGAACUAACUCUAUCUGACUAGCUCACCUAUGUCUACUAAUACAGAUGAAAGUCAAACACCCGACCUCUCUACCACUACUCAUAAGAAUGAAACUAAAGCAGAGGGAGUGGAGGCAGUAUCAAGUCAGUCUUCUUCAAAAGAAAGGGACGAAGCUGGGCCAAGCUCCUACUGGCAUCAAGAUCAACCAACUACUGGCAAAGAAAUCCACUAGCUACAUAAAACGAAACUUUCUCCUUUACCUCGACCAGGAACAGGCAAUUAUCCAGUGGUAACUACCCUAACAAGCAAGUCAGUAAACAAAAGCACUGAAGCCUACCCGACCCUAGCAACUUUCAAAGAAAAGAGUAAAAGAAAGAAGGAUAAGAGUAUGACUAUUAAGUGACUUUCGAGAGUGCCAGAUCAACUGGGCUUGGUAAGAGCGGAGGUCUACUCUCAAUUCUGCAGUUCUUACUUGCUUCUUUAACUCCCGGAACUGGGUCGGCGUACUCUAUAUCCUGGGUGCUUAAGUAAAUGAGUUGGUAGACUAGACUAAGGCAAGGCGGGUUAGCUCACAGUAAACGAUGGCCUAUCGGCGGCAGCAACUAAACUGGGAAUCCAUUGGUACUAGCUCUGGCUCCAAUGAAUUUCACCCUGCUGGAAACAGAUACUGAAUUGAACUCAAAAGUAGGAGUGCCUUAUAGUAAGUUGAUUGGACUAAGUAGUCAAAGAAAUUAGGGUUUACUGCCCCAAGAGGAGAGGUAGUCCUGGUAGUAGUAGUAGUAGCUUGGCAGCCCUGAAGUUCAUGGUUCUAGUCUUCAUCCCUAGGUUUUCAUCCUAUUAGAAUGUCAUUGAAAGCGGGUUUUCUCUCUUCUGCGCAAGAAGGUAUGAUUACUUUUACUGAUUUACUUAGAGAUAGGGAUGGAUGAGCCAUAACAGUAUUAGUUUACAUAGCUAGAUGAGCAAGAUCAGAGGGAUAGUUUCAAGAGCAAGAGCGGAACGACUAUAUCUGUCCUUUGUUCGUCACCUGUUUUAAGGUGUUGAAGCUGCCUAAACCUAUCUUUCUUUCUUUGAUGGUAGAGCGGAGCCAGUAGUUAUAGGUGGAGCAGAGCCAGUACUAGAUGAUUGCCCGAACAAGACUUGGAGCUACCGCGCCUUAGAGACAUAAGCAGAUGAAACUAAAACAAGGGAUUACUUUAUCACGGAACCUGAUCCAGCGGAUGAUCUUGAAACUGCUGAUUCCCUUUCGGAUUCCCCUUUGCCAACUACUCGAACUGCUCUGGCUCUGUAAACUGUAGUAGCUUGGCUUCUAGUUGUGAGUGUGAGUUUAAGACCGGUCCCUUAGUUACAGGAGAACAUUAGUAUAUAUACCUCAGAGUUAAAGACCAGAGAACAUAUGAGCUAGUAUUGUUAUCAAAGAAGAGGACCACCCCUACUCUUUGAGUUUACCCCGAAACAGACUAUAAGGGCUCUUCUACUGGCGCCACAGCCUCAGAUAUUGCUUCCCCAACUGAUGAUCUCGUUGCCAAUGCUCAAUCCUAGGAUUCCGUGUAUGCUCACUCUGUUAAGAAGACCGCUAUGUAGUUAAGGGAUGCAGAGAAGAAGACCGGAUGGGUAGUAUUAGGGUCGUGAGCAGGCUUAUACUUACUCGUUUCAUUCUUUGACUCCUUAGCUACAUUGCUUCCAAGACUAUUUCAUAAGCUACUAAUAGGCAAGCAAGUCAGUAUUAACUCCUUAGAGCUUCAGUAAGAAUAUAUCCCCUUAGCAACAUUGCUUCCAAGCCAAGCCCCAGGGCCAGGGAAGAAGUAGGCCAAGUAGUGACCAAGUAAAAGAGGUAGGUUUGGAAAUGAAGCAAGUCAGAAUGAAGGUAUUGUUGCCAUAGGUAUAGAUAGAAGCCUGAGUUCAAAGAGAUGGCACUGGCCGGCUUUGGGCAGCAAGCUGUUCUUAAAGUGCAGAGUCAGGAGUGAGUUGAGUUCGGAUAGCCCAGGAGUGGUUAGUUGACAGAGGUAUCGAAGCCAGAGAGGAAGAGAGAAAGAGCUCUACUAAUUGUCUAGGUUCGUAGCUAGGGUUGGUUAAGAGAGGAGCCUAGCCUAAUUCAGUUUAUAGUUCUGAACUCAGUUAAUUGUUUUAAGCGGUUUAUUGCUCUAGUACUAGUGGUUGUUUGUCGACUUGGCAGUUAGCAAAUAGAUACUCAAGUUUCUUUCCUUCACUAGGGGAGAGGUGUGGAACAUUCCAAUACUCUGGCAGGGGUGGUUCACUUAACUCUUUUACAAUUGAUAAACACAGAUGAUAAAACGAAUGUCAUUUCCACUAUGAAACUCUACAAACACAGUGAAGCAAGAAAGGUAUUGAUUGAGUCAGCUACCAAAGAAUAGUAUUGGAUCCGUAGAGCAAGAGGCAGCAUUAAGUUUAAGGUCGAGGAAGAAACAAGUCCUGUCUUCGUAGAUGUCUUCGUUGCGGUAAGCAAGUAUCGUUUUUCAACCUGUUGUAGUUUCUCAAGAGAAGUCAAGUCUCUUGUUCCAGGGGCAAGUGUCAGAGUUCCAGCAGAAGAUAGAUAUGAAGAAGGAAGGAUUCUAAUAAGCAAGAUCGUGGGAUCUGAAGAAGGAAAGUAGACGAUAGAAUCAUAAGUCCCAAAGGAAGCUGUUAGAGCAGUAGCAUAAGAAGGAACAGAGGCUCACGCGGAAGCCGGAAAGGAAUUAGGAUAAGCAUCAGUGACUGGUGCGCUAACUGGAGCAAGUAAGCACUUUUCAACAAGUAAGGAGUCAGCAUCAGCAGUUUACGCGGAUAGAGCAUUAAAGUCAGCAUAUAGAGCUUUAUAGUCAGCAGGAAGUAGGGAGUCAGCUGUAAGCAAGUUAUUGAAUCUUAAGUUCUACGAGUUUGCAGGGAGAGACAUCUCUGAUAUGUGAUGUGUGUCACGCUAGAUUCCAUUUCAUUAAGUUUAGUUAAGCGAGUAAGCACAAGUAGGGGCGGGAAUAGUUUCUCUAGUUUUUUGACCUUAGUGAGAGUUCUUUGAGUCAGGAGCUAGAUUCCUAAUUUCCAUGGAGUAAAAUACAUUAUUGGAAUUCAUUGUUUACGGCUUUCAUUCUUUGUUACGAGUUAGAAGCCCCAGUAUGAGUAGCUUGUGUUCCCCCAUAGAAAUCAUUGAAUUGACAACCACUGAUAGAAAAGUAACUAUACACCCAUUCUGGAUUCUUCUGCACUAAAGGAAGCAGCAAGAGAUUAUUCAAGCUUCGUCUUAAAGUCGAGAAUCCGCUGCUUUAAAAGAAAAAGAAGAAGAUAAGGGAACAGAAAAGUAGACAAGUCCCUUAUUCGUCAACGGUAGCAAUAAAGAAGUAGGUCCUCAUUAAUAGCGUCAGCGAAUUUGAGCUAAACAAACAAAGAAAUGGAUAAUUACUAACGUUAUGAACAAGCUCAGUAGAAUGUUACGUGUUAGCGAGAUACGAGUUGGUACGGCCAAGUAGUCACUAUUCAUGUUACGCGGCAGGGCUGCUCCUGUUAUGAGUAAGUCCUAAUUCCAUAUGUUUUCGUUCCUUUGUUCGUGUUACGCGGCAGUGAGUUUAGGCGGCGAAAGACGUUGGGCGGUAGCCAAUAAACAGUUCUUACGAAGUUAUUACAAUAUAUGCCUUCGGCGGCAGGAGCUCUUUCAACUUUCUCUUCUGCUACUCGGGGCUUUAAGGCUGUUACUUCAUAGUGGAAUUCUGAUCUUUCUAACUGGAACAGGGGCAGCUGACUGAACUCGAGUCACCAAAACACGGGUUUUUGAAUAGCAACGGGGCCAAGUAACUGCGCUAGUUCUACUGCCCUUGACUCAGUACACACACAUUGGUAGCAAUAACUGGAAAGUCGACAAACAGAUUCAAUGAAACUAACUCAUAACUCCUCACUCAGUAGUAAAAGAAAUCCACUAACUCAUAACUCCUCACUCAGUAGUAAAAGAAAUCCACUACUACAUAAAGAGCUAUAAUAAGAGAAAUAAUUAAUCAAGUCCACCAAGCUUAGUAUACAAAAGCAUAGAGCCAAGCUUAGGCCAAGCAACGUAGACUCCAGGAGUAGUUGUGCGAUCUGGACCACUACAUUAAGGGUUUUUGUAGUAUACGCUUGGCCCUGAUUAUUCCAUUUUGACAUAUUGAAGUGAAGAUCACGCAUCGUUAAUACUAGAAUUGGAAGACAAAGAGUAAUCAAUCUCAUGUUGUUCUACUUUCUAGAGCGUUUAGAAGUGGUUGCUUCUACUACUAAGAUUGUCACACAGUUGACUUUCAUAACUUCUCACGAUUCGAUGGUAUUAUGAUUAUGAAAUAUGUUGUUUAUUAUGGUGCCAUCCAACCUCUUAUCCAGGAACAAUAAUGAGUGUGAGUUCAAAGUGUAUCGGGGAAAUCAAGGGGUCUUUCGUCUAAGAGAUUCAAUAACUCUGCUCCCUAAGAAUCUCUUUGUAUUGGCAAAGACUUAUUUAUUGUCCUCAAUGUGGUUAUAAAGGCUCCAUCGACCAUAAUCAAGUGAAAGGUGGAGAAUCUGAAUAAGCGCUUCCAGCACUUGUAUUAUAUGAAACAGGAUAUUCGUCUCUUAGGUGGUGUUAUGCUGAAGGCUCAAUAGAUGGAUUUUUCUCAGUACAAAGUGUAUAUCUAGGAUUGCAUGACAUUGUCCGCGCUAGCUAUGCGCAUUUCUCGUAUGAACUAUUCCGAUCCUCUUAGUUUUCCUAUAUUUGAACGAAGAUACAUUCAUUCGUCUUGGGUACUAUGGAGGCCAUGCUGAUGUGUAUAUCCCACAUGGAAAGACUUGAUAUAGAUUCUAUUAUAUUUUGACGUGAACUCCCUAUAUCCAUUUGUCAUGCAAACCCGUUCUAUGCCGGGCGCCUAAAUGGCAUGGUAACAACUUGGAAGACCAUAAAUUGUCCGACUUAUUUGGAUUUAUUGAGGCAUAUGUAGUCUGUCCGAAUACUAUCAAGAAGCCCUUUUCGAGAGAAGAACACUCUAAUCUUUCCAACCGGGGAAUUAGUUGGUGUUUAUUUCAGUGAAGAGUUUCAGUAUGCACGUAACUUGGGUGAAAAGAUUAUACCACGGCUGGCGUUUGAGGAAAAGCGACGUCCUUUCUUUUGUUUGAGCACCCGAAACAAGAACACCUAGAGCUACCUGGCAAACGAAACUUCCCUUUAAGGACCCAACAAAGACAGAUUCAACCAGAGGCGGGACCACUACUUGUAAACUUAAGAUCAAACAAGGGAUAUGAAACCAGGCUGAGGAGCCGAACACAGGACUUGGCAAUUGAUGGCUCGUAGUGGAAUCAGUGAGAAUCAGUAUCAUAUUAAUACUACUACUUAAGACUACUACUAUUCAUAUCAAUACUUAUCAUAUCAAUGCAGAGGUGAUACUAGGAAAACAGGGAUUCUACUGGGUAUGGCGCCUAUGGAGAGCCUGUCCUGAAAGAUGGGUUCAGAAACCUAAAUCCAAGUAGCGGUCCAAGUACUCAAUUGAAGUCUACACUUCCCCAACUAGUAGUAGCCCUGAACAACCAUAAAGAUGUUAGGAAUAAAUGCACUAUAGGAGCUUACAGGAUAAAAGAGAGUCGAUUGGGCUUCUUCUUUAUUGGAGAAAAGUCAAGCAAGCACUACUGAGUCAAGCACAACAGCAACUACCAACAGCAACUACAUACUUUUGACUGCCCGGAAAGACUUUUACUAAGAGUCUGGGCCUGAGCGUAACCUAUUGAUAAAGGAGGAGUUCUCGUGCAUCCCGUAUUUUGCAGUUACAAGAUCUGGUGAAGAAAGUGGAACAAGCUUAUCUAUAAGGGCUAGAUACUUUGACCUAGAGCAUAACUGAGGAGAAUUGAGUUUAUCCUUGCCUAGACUAUAUAUUGAUGAAACCAAAAGGAUAGGUAGCUUAAAGAGUCCGUCUACUUUUAAGGAGCAAGACUCCGGUUGUGGUAAUGCGAGUUCGGGUGCUCGUCCAGUAAGGGAAUGCUCAACUGCUUCAAUAAGGUAGAAAGAUGUUGGUGCAAGUCAGAGGUAAGCUUUUGAAUGUCCUGUCCCUGUUCGAGUUGAGUUAUAGUCUUCAUCCCUCGCUUAAUCCGAGUCUCCAAGAGAAGUAUCCAGAAGUAUGGUUUCUGGGCUUUCCUGAGUCGGGUGCUUGUGUUAAGAAAGUAGUCAAUCUAUCUCCUUUGCCGGCUUGCCUGAUAGCCAAUAGUAGCCGGACCGGAUUGACUUGCCUCGUAGCUUGGCCCGUUAGAACUAGAGCACAAGAACGUAACUUUGUGCAUCCUCACAAGAACGUAACUUUGUGCAUCCUAAUAAUAAGAAGAAAGUGUUGCAUUUUGGCAGCGGAUACUGGAGGAGAAAUUCCAGCAUGAAAGAGACCAACCUCACCUGUGGAAUCCAAAAAGUAAGUAUAUUUACAAAUCUCUAAGAGAGAAGAGCAAUGAAAGAAGAGACCCGAACAGAGACAUAGACUCGGUGUAUACUCUCGCAUCGAAGAGCAUCGUUCAUUUUGUAAGAGAAUAGUGUGACGGCUUAUCUAGCUUAUCUAGACUCAAAAAGCCACGAAUGAAUCAUUUGCUAAGAUACUAGCUCCAACACUGGAUUUCUUUUGUCGAGAUGGGUUUGGUGUUCUUCGAACAUUUGUAACCCUAGAAGCUAUUGGUUACCAAGUAAGCUCAAGAAGCGAAGCUGGUCUUCCUGGUAGAUUAUAUAAGGACAUCUCAUGUUCAUGCCAGUGCGCUUUUCGUUCUUUCAAUCCCUUCUUUUCUCGAGUCUUUAGCCGCAUUUAGUAAAUAUAAGUAGGUGUGUUUCAGAAGCUAGUGUUUGAGUAUGACUUUUUGGGGAUUAAUCUUUGAGAUAUAUGCCUAUUUCUUUUAUGACCGUGAGUGAAAGCCUAUUAGUAUUAGAGAAGGGGGGAAGUAGGUGAUCAUCAACAAGUGUUUGACUAUGCCAUUCGUCAUACGACGCGUACAUCUCCGAUCAGAGAGUUUCUUAAUCGUCUGGUUAUUUCCAUGGAAAAGCGAAAAUCCUAUAUUAUUAUUAGAUUCUUAUUAUAUGGAAGUAGGUCCUAUUAUUAUAUAGAAGUAGGUCCUCGACCCAGGGUAAUUCAUCAAUCAGAUGGAUGCGCUUAUAGGGCUCUUAGCACCUUACUUUGAUUCCUGUCAACCCUUCGCUAGUAGGACUAUCAGAUAGAAUGGCUAGUCGGUAAACCCUUGACUGCCAAUCUCAUUAGAGGUUAUAAGCUAGCAUCAAAAAAGGGUGGGGUGGUAGUAGACCAGGUGAGUGUUAGCGCUUUACUAAUCCAAAAUAGGGAGUAGACCCGUUUCUUUCUAGAAUGACUCUUCCGGAGUAAAGCUUGAACGUGGCCUGUUAGUCCAAAAGGAAAUGACAUAUCGGAUCGUAGCCAGGAGGUGCCUCAAAUCAGCGAGAUGAAAAACUAGGGCAAAGGGAGAGGGUUCCACAUAAACAAAGAAAAGUAUGGCAGCAGUCGAAUCUUUAGCUAGUCCCAUUCCUUUUAUCUGCGAAGGAAUGAAAGGAUUGGAAGGUAAUAAAGACGGAUAUUGCAAAUAUGGAAUUUUCGGAAAGGAACGGAGCAUAUAUAGUGGCUCGACGCGGCGGUGUACACGUGUCUCCUAUAGCAUGCAGCCCAUAAUGAAGAGACAGAUCUCGAGAAAGGUGUGCUGCGAGAGUAUAGGUAGCCAGUCUUUACUUAAGUAGGCCCAAGCAAUGCCCAAAGACUCCCAUUUCCUUAUUGGCCGACCCUUUUCCCUAUAAGGUUCCUAGCCCAAGGCGAUUUCCGACAAGUAGUUGGUCAGCAGAGAAAGUAGAGGUCGGGCGCUAAGCAAGACAAGAUAGAGAUUCCAUUAAUGAUUCAGCAGCAUAAGAUUAAUUGGAAUUAAUGAUUCAGCAGCAUAAGAUUAAUUAGAGUUAGUCGUUAAGCUCAUUGAUUUAGUAUAUAUAGGUAUGUGGAGAGAUAGAUUGUAGUAGGUCCUAAGGUAAUAAGAAAUAGGAUGAAGUAUAAGUAAGUGGAGAGAUAGAUUGAAGUAGGUACAAAGGUAAUAAGAAAUAGAUGAAGCGGGUAAUCAGAAAGGGGAGAGUAAGGAGCAGAUUCCGCAGUGGAAGCAGUUCUUGACUUGCGAAUAACUCGCCGCUGGAACUCGGCUCCCAAAAACGGGACUUGGCGUCAGUGAGCUCUUUACCUACAAAGACAAAGAUAGAAAGAAAAUAACUUAGUCCGUUUCUUCUCCCUUCUUCGCUCUUAAUACACACCUCUGGGCAGGAAAUAUCACUCGUACACUAACUUGCUUGUUUAAUUGAAUGAAAUCCAAAUGGAAUAUAUGAAAUACAAUAGAAAAGAGUAAAGAACACCGCUUACUAUAAUAUCAUGGUAGUGCGCACACCUAUAAUCUCAUCUAUGAACUAACCAUCAUGAAGGAAGCUCACUCCUAAUCAUAUGAAACACCAUCAGAAAGCUCACUCCUAAUCAUAUAUAGUAUGGAACUUGCUGUAUCUUAAAGCUCACUCCUAAUCAUAUAUAGUGAAGUAUGGAACUCGCACACGUAGAACUCACUUUAGCUCGACGACGAACGCCAAACACCAGGUAUCAAAGAAAUUCAUUGAGUUAGAUAAGAGUCCAGGGCUAGUUCCAGUGGAAUUCUUAUCCGUAUUUGUAACAAGAGGAGAGGAAGCUAGAAGUACUAUUGAUCCCAGGACUUGAUUCUGCCCCUAAUCAAAGUAAGGCAAUUGGUUACGUGUGAUAAUGUUGUUCCAGACCAGAGGUGUUCGUGUUUAAGUUCCAGAGGUGUGUGUCUUAAUGAGUUCCCUAGCUCUCGGGGCGCUUUAUAAGGCUUCUUUUCAAGUCAAAGACAAUCUCUUUCGAGUCGUUUCACCUAUGCCUAUGCCUCUCCUCUGUUCCACUCAUAUUAUAGUGAAUGCGUGCUUCAAAGCAAAAGCCAGUUCUUAAUUGGAUUCUUUUCUUAACCCUUACUUGACUCUUGAUACUUUACCGACCGACCCAGAGCUACUAGAUACGAUUAACCUCGAACAUAACUUACAUAACCAUUUACUGUUGACUUGUUCCGCAUAUGAUAGAAUUGAUGAAAGGGUCAAGGAGCGGAAAGUGUGCUUCAAAACUCACUAAAGCACCCCGAACUAUAGAAUAUGUAUUGUAACUCAAUAAACAAAUAAGUAUCAUAUUGAUUUCAGGAUUAUAUAACUUUACUGAACUUUGUUUGCCCAAGAGCUGGCACUAAGAGUUGAGUUGGCAAAAGACCUUGUUUGUAUAUACUGGUUCUAUAGUAGCAGCGUCGGGGCGCUAACACUUCUGGUUGUUGGCCACUAAGCGGUAAGCAUAUUCCUUCAGCCUUCUUGGGGUAGAUAACAAUAAGUUGGAUAAGAGUAGGAAUUAGGGUAAGAGUAAUAAUUUCAUAAGAACAGGAGAGGCGAUAUAGAAUUUCUUAAUCAAACACAGAAUACAGUCAAAUAAUCAUUAAAGAACAUAGUUAUCAAUAAGAGAGAGAGGUUUCUUCUGUUCGAGUAGAGAGAAUCAUCUGUUUAAACAGAAUAAGUAGAAACAAGAUCAUAAGAUAGAUCUGGAUCUGGAUCCGUGAAAAAAGAAGCUGUUAGAAUAGAAAUAGGUAAUCGAAUUGCUUCUAUAGUUAGAGAAGAGCCAAGCCAGAGUGAAAAGAGCCAGAGUAAGAUGUCCGCAGUGCCAGAUUACAGUCGAAUUCCAGUAUGAGUGGAAUCUUAGUUAGUUGCCUUGGCGCUAACCCAUCUUUUCUAGAAUAAUAUGGAUAAGAAUAAGUUGAAAGAUAUGAAGCGGGAAGGUAAACUUCCUCUUAUGUGGAAUCUAUCAUUUCACCUAUGCUACUUGGCCUUUGAAUGAAUUGGAGCCUAAGAACAUAGCCCUGAGCUGAGAGUAAAGUGUCUUACGUUGUUCACUACCCUUAAUUUCAACAAGCCUAGGAAGAACAAGAAGAAAACGAGUAUUAGGCUGCUUUCUUAGGUAGAGCAGAGCCAGUACUAUCCUCUUCCGCUAUAACUCCACUUGCAGAAUAGUUUGCAUCUGCUUGAGCCUCUGAUUCUUAGUACGAUUCCACUCGAGCAGAACAAGCUUCAACUUAAGGCCCAGUACUUGAUUAGAUGAUGAUUCUCCAGAUUCCCGGCUCUUCAAUAGGGACAGAUGAUUCUAUUGGUUGAAGACUGGCUCUUUGACUUCUUCUAGCAAUUAAAUAUCUCUCUGACUCAUUACCCUAUUAUAGUAGAUCUCGAUUCACUCUGGGUACCUCAUAACUAUGUUUUUCGCGGCAG